rnacentral:rRNA from 1 species
CCUACGGGUGGCUGCAGUGGGGAAUAUUGGACAAUGGGCGAAAGCCUGAUCCAGCCAUGCCGCGUGUGUGAAGAAGGCCUUCGGGUUGUAAAGCACUUUCAGUGGGGAAGAAAGCCUUGGGGCUAAUACCCUCGAGGAAGGACAUCACCCACAGAAGAAGCACCGGCUAACUCCGUGCCAGCAGCCGCGGUAAUACGGAGGGGGCGAGCGUUAAUCGGAAUUACUGGGCGUAAAGCGCGCGUAGGCGGUCUGAUAAGCCGGUUGUGAAAGCCCCGGGCUCAACCUGGGAACGGCAUCCGGAACUGUCAGGCUAGAGUGCAGGAGAGGAAGGUAGAAUUCCCGGUGUAGCGGUGAAAUGCGUAGAGAUCGGGAGGAAUACCAGUGGCGAAGGCGGCCUUCUGGACUGACACUGACGCUGAGGUGCGAAAGCGUGGGUAGCAAACAGGAUUAGAUACCCUGGUAGUC